rnacentral:misc_RNA from 1 species
GAUGAAGAACGCAGCGAAAUGCGAUAAGUAAUGUGAAUUGCAGAAUUCAGUGAAUCAUCGAGUCUUUGAACGCACAUUGCGCCCCCUGGUAUUCCGGGGGGCAUGCCUGUCCGAGCGUCAUUGCUGCCCUCAGGCACGGCUUGUGUGUUGGGCUCCGCCCCCCUCCCGGGGGGCGGGCCCGAAAGGCAGCGGCGGCACCGCGUCCGGUCCUCGAGCGUAUGGGGCUUUGUCACCCGCUCUGUAGGCCCGGCCGGCGCCCGCCGGCGACCCCAAUCAAUCUUUCCAGGUUGACCUCGGAUCAGGUAGGGAUACCCGCUGAACUUAAGCAUAUCAAUAAGCGGAGGA